CGGACGGGUGAGUAAUGUCUGGGAAACUGCCCGAUGGAGGAGGAUAACUACUGGAAACGGUAGCUAAUACCGCAUAACGUCGCAAGACCAAAGAGGGGGACCUUCGGGCCUCUUGCCAUCGGAUGUGCCCAGAUGGGAUUAGCUAGUAGGUGGGGUAACGGCUCACCUAGGCGACGAUCCCUAGCUGGUCUGAGAGGAUGACCAGCCACACUGGAACUGAGACACGGUCCAG
rnacentral:rRNA from 1 species